UACAGAGGGUGCGAGCGUUGUUCGGAAUUAUUGGGCGUAAAGGGCGCGUAGGCGGUGCGGUAAGUCACCUGUGAAAUCUCCGAGCUCAACUGGGAGUCUGCAGGCGAAACUGCCGUGCUGGAGUAUGGGAGAGGUGCGUGGAAUUCCUGGUGUAGCGGUGAAAUGCGUAGAGAUCGGGAGGAAUACCAGAGGCGAAAGCGGCGGCCUGGACAGUUACUGACACUCAACUGCGAAAGCGUGGGGAGCAAACAGG
rnacentral:rRNA from 1 species